rnacentral:rRNA from 1 species
CCUACGGGUGGCAGCAGUGGGGAAUAUUGCACAAUGGGCGCAAGCCUGAUGCAGCCACGCCGCGUGUAUGAAGAAGGCCUUCGGGUUGUAAAGUACUUUCAGCGAGGAGGAAGGCGUCAAGGUUAAUAACCUCACCGAUUGACGUUACCCGCAGAAGAAGCACCGGCUAACUCCGUGCCAGCAGCCGCGGUAAUACGGAGGGUGCAAGCGUUAAUCGGAAUUACUGGGCGUAAAGCGCACGCAGGCGGUCUGUCAAGUCGGAUGUGAAAUCCCCGGGCUCAACCUGGGAACUGCAUUCGAAACUGGCAGGCUAGAGUCUUGUAGAGGGGGGUAGAAUUCCAGGUGUAGCGGUGAAAUGCGUAGAGAUCUGGAGGAAUACCGGUGGCGAAGGCGGCCCCCUGGACAAAGACUGACGCUCAGGUGCGAAAGCGUGGGGAGCAAACAGGAUUAGAUACCCUUGUAGUC